CCCAGCUCUGCUCUUCACAGGGUGGCUGUCCUCCGGGCUAUUCCUGCACCUAGACCAGUCCCUGGGGAGUGACAGGACACCCAGACUGUUGGGAGGAAAGAUACUGUCGAGUCCCAGCUGGGCCCUGCGAUGCCCCAAUUCCACUCUGCCACUCUAUCUCAAAACUUCAGUUCUGUUCUGCACUCUAUCGAGCCAGGCCAUCAUCUCUAUGCUGAGGAGGGCAUAUGACCCCCUCCUCCCUGAGACUGGCACCUAAGUUUAUGAGCCAGUGCAGAAGUCUCUGAGAACCAUAUGGGUGGAAAAAGUUACCCGGUUCUAAAUCAGCCAGCUUUUGGGUGAUCUCAUCCCCUUCCCAAGAUAGUUGUGCUCCCCUCCUCCACCUACCAACUGACUGGGCUAAUGGGCCUGUGCACCCUUCGGCAGGAUGGGAUCCAGCCUGAGAUUGGAGUAUAAAGCUACUUUUGCUGGCUGCUGCCUUGAAGUGUUGUCCCUGUGCCAUGACACCCUGCCUUGGAGCCAGCUGAUUAUGGACUGAAACCUCCACAAACAGUGAGCUAAAUAAACCUUU